UACGGAGGGGACUAGCGUUGUUCGGAAUUACUGGGCGUAAAGCGCACGUAGGCGGCCAUUCAAGUUAGGGGUGAAAGCCCAGGGCUCAACCCUGGAAUUGCCUUUAAGACUGCAUCGCUUGAACAUCGGAGAGGUAAGUGGAAUUCCGAGUGUAGAGGUGAAAUUCGUAGAUAUUCGCAAGAACACCAGUGGCGAAGGCGGCUCACUGGCCCGAUACUGACGCUGAGGCACGAAAGCGUGGGGAGCAAACAGG
rnacentral:rRNA from 1 species